rnacentral:rRNA from 1 species
AACGAACGCUGGCGGCAUGCCUAACACAUGCGAGUCGAACGAGACCUUCGGGUCUAGUGGCGCACGGGUGCGUAACGCGUGGGAACCUGCCUUUAGGUUCGGAAUAACUCAGAGAAAUUUGAGCUAAUACCGGAUGAUGUCUUCGGACCAAAGAUUUAUCGCCUUUAGAUGGGCCCGCGUUGGAUUAGCUAGUUGGUGGGGUAAAGGCCUACCAAGGCGACGAUCCAUAGCUGGUCUGAGAGGAUGAUCAGCCACACUGGGACUGAGACACGGCCCAGACUCCUACGGGAGGCAGCAGUGGGGAAUAGUGGACAAUGGGCGAAAGCCUGAUCCAGCAAUGCCGCGUGAGUGAUGAAGGCCGUAGGGUUGUAAAGCUCUUUUACCCGAGAUGAUAAUGACAGUAUCGGGAGAAUAAGCUCCGGCUAACUCCGUG